AGUGCAAAAGUGAAAAGUUGUUGAUGAAAUGUAAGAUUACUAAGCUUGGUCUUUCCGUUUCCUACAUGUUUACAACUUUACAAGCCUUCGAAAGUGACAUUAGCUCUUUGCAAUUGCCAAUUGCAGAGAUCCCAGAUGCGAAAAUGGCCAAAACUGAAAAUGGCAAUGCUGCGCCUUUUACUUUAAACAUGGCUGCUGCCAGUGCUGCCUGCUGACAGCCUGACAUUCAACGAGAUCGUUAUGGUGGUAUUAAAAUGUACCGGUACUGCGCCAUUUUCCAUUAUGAAAGUUAAGUUAAAAAUAUUUUGUUUCGUUACGAUAUUGUAUGGUUGCUGAACGUAAAAUUUUUACAUGUUUAUUCACAGGAAAUCUAGCCUGUAAUUUCAAAUCUGCCAAAUCACCUUAUCAGUUGUCAGUUGUCACGUCAUUCACGUGACCUGAAACCAUCCUGAAACUCAUGUCGUUGCUUGCUACUGGUAUCGGUUGUAUGUACAACCCAUGCAAAAACACUUGACAGCAAAACAUCUGAGUAUGAGCUGCAGCCAGUUGGUGAAGGUGUACACAAACCCAAAUCUUGCAGGGGACACUGACUGAAUUGAUUGACCCGGCAAAUGGCGGUUCUUUGCAUUAUUUCCAUCCGACUACUUGUCCAGUCGUUUCAACUGAAGAAUUUUUGCAGCGGAUGGUGGAAUAUACGCGUAGAAUAUAAUUACAAAGUAUUAGGUCUGGAAGAAGAAAAGGUGGAAAGAACAGAACCCACUUCCAAAGAAGAAGAAACGAAAUGAGCUUUUCUCGGUUGGCCUGUGCCGUUUCCCCUGACCAAACUUCUUUGAUUCUUCUCUAUGCGCACCUCUGCUUGGAUCUUGACGUCCAGCUAGAAGAUGCCGUUCGACUCCUUCAGCAAGUUGAAACGCUGCACGAUCAUCGACUAAUGGAAAAAUGCAUUCAGAAAUUAAACCAGAAAAUGUCACUAGUCACAAAAAAAGUUAUCCACCUUCGAUCAUCAUUCGUUAAAUACGCGGUGGGACUUGUUAUGAUAUACCAACAUAGCGCUUGUAAGCCACCGUUACUGUGUGUAAUCGAAUCCUGGACACACCAUGAUCCACCGUAGGAGAAUAUUUUGUAACGUCCUUUUCGACGAUGGGGAAUUCUUCCUUCGUUGCUGAAGAUAAUUUAAAACUCAACACUGAUGUGUCGUUCGUCAGCAGCCAUCCGAAUAUCGGGCUUUCUUUUGAACGUUUCAACGGCCGCCGAUACUCCAAUGCUGAGAUGAUCUUCCCAGAGGAUGAAGCCUUUGCUCUUUCCCUGGUCGGAUAAAAUUAUACGUAUUAUCGUAUCGUAUUAUGUAAUUGUCUGCCUUUUACGUACAUUAGCUGCUAAAUAGUUUCGUCAAAUUUUACGAGAAAUCAAAAAAUUAUUUAGGCCAUUCAGGUUGUUUUUCUUAAAUUCAACCAAUGUACAACUGUAUGUAAAAUUGUAAAUCAGGUUCUUGUUUCACCUUUUCAUUCAUCAUUUUGUAGCUUAAAUCUUGUGUUAUUUUGCAAACAAUUUUAACUUUCACUUUACUUAAAAAUUCCAGACAGAACUCCCUCCUACCUCUGGGUAUCAAUCUGGGUCGCCUCUGACCCCAAUUAAGAAGUAAAGGCCCCCUGUGUAAGAAAGGUAGGUAAAGGAAGGAAUCCAACAUAGAAGACUUUAAACGUAAACAGAAAUCUAAAAGAUUUAUUUUGUAACAACUUACAAGUGAUUUUUGUGCUACAAAAUAGCACUUAUAAACCAAUAAAAUCAGACAAGGAAGAGCAUUCACAAAGACAAA
rnacentral:lncRNA from 1 species